CCUACGGGAGGCAGCAGUGAGGAAUAUUGGUCAAUGGACGAGAGUCUGAACCAGCCAAGUAGCGUGAAGGAUGACUGCUCUAUGGGUUGUAAACUUCUUUUAUAUGGGAAUAAAAUGUUCCACGUGUGGGAUUUUGUCUGUACCAUAUGAAUAAGGAUCGGCUAAUUCCGUGCCAGCAGCCGCGGUAAUACGGAGGAUCCGAGUGUUAUCCGGAUUUAUUGGGUUUAAGGGGAGCGUAGGUGGAUUGUUAAGUCAGUUGUGAAAGUUGGCGGCUCAACCGUAAAAUUGCAGUUGAAACUGGCAGUCUUGAGUACAGUAGAGGUGAGCGGAAUUCGGGGUGUAGCGGUGAAAUGCUUAGAUAUCACGAAGAACUCCGAUUGCGAAGGCAGUUCACUGGACUGCAACUGACACUGAGGCUCGAAAGUGUGGGUAUCAAACAGGAUUAGAUACCCCAGUAGUC
rnacentral:rRNA from 1 species